UGACUUUGAAAAGGGCAUGAAAAAUCCCUAGGCGACCCACACCACCGCCUACCCAAUUUCACCAUCAGUUUGAGACACUUUUCCUUUUGUUGAAUUGCUUUUGUUGAGUUGUGUUCGAACUCACUCAAGUCCCAGGUUGGUACCUCCUCUCGCGACAAUGGAUUCUUCGGAGGCGAAUACUGAAUCCCCUAGUCGCGCCGAACAGGAUUCCACGGCGAACAAGAAAUGCACCAAGUUCUACGAUAUCUACGGCCCCGAAGGCAAGGCCGAUGUUGUUUUCAAGUCACCAGAAGAUAAUUCAACUUUGAAUCUUAAUGAUAUUCAAGGACUUAUAACUUGGGUGCUUGGUGAAGGAUUUAUGCCAUCAUGGGUCUUUAUUAAGAAUAAACCUCUUAUUCCCAAAGUGGUGAUGCUAUAUAUGCCAGGCUUGGAUGCAGCUUUGUUCUUGUCGCAAUCUAAAAUGCUUCCCAGUCUAAAAAAAUUCUGUGGCAAACCAAGGCCAGUCCUAGCUCUUAGCUGUGUAUCAGAUGGUAUGCAGACAAUAGAUGCACUGCUAACAUGCAAGGUGAAAAGAAAGAGGGAUGAAAAUUGUUCAAUUAUGACGAAAGCUACUCUGACACCACAACAAGAAGAUGGCUGUGUUGGUACUAACAGUCUAUCAUAUAUGGAGCUAACUAAAGAUAUACCUUUCCCUGUCACGUACUAUACACUAACAGAGAAAGAUCUGGAAGAGAAUGGAUAUUCUAUUAAUAAGCCAGGUUUUCUUUCUACUUUGCCUGCUCCUUUGGGAUCUCCUUUUCAUGAAAUGUUAGCAGUUGAUUGUGAGAUGUGUGUAACAAGCGAGGGUUUUGAGCUGACAAGAGUUACUCUGGUAGAUGUUAAAGGGCAGGUUUUGAUAGAUAAGUUAGUUAAACCAACGAAUGCUAUCACUGAUUACAACACAAGAUUUAGUGGAAUAACAUAUGAGAUGUUAGAUGGGGUGACAACAAGUUUGAGAGAUAUUCAGGAAGAGUUUCUAAAAUUGGUUUACAAAGAGACUAUCCUCGUUGGCCACUCUUUAGAAAAUGAUUUAUUAGCGUUGAAAAUAUCCCAUGACUUGGUCAUUGACACAGCAGUAUUAUACAAACACCCACGAGGGUCAUCUCAUAAAACUGCUCUACGGUUUCUUGCUAAAAGAUUUCUUAAAAGGGAGAUACAGCAGUCAGGGAAUGGGCAUGACAGCAUUGAAGAUGCUAGAGCUACCUUGGAAUUGGCUCUAUUGAAGAUAAAAAAUGGGCCUGACUUUGGUUCCCCUCCUAACUUCAUGCGGAAAAAGCUCCUUUCCAUUUUGAGCGAAUCUGGCAAAACUUCCUCAUUGAUUGAUGAUAUAUCCGUUGUAAAACGAUUUGCCUCUGAGUCCUCUCAUGCAAUUCCAGUUACAUCUGAUGAAGAAGCACUUGCAAAGACAACCAAGGAGUUGAAGAAUGAAAAGGUCCAUUUUAUUUGGACACAGUUUUCAGAGUUAUACUCAUACUUGAAGAAACAAGCUGAGGAUUCAGAGAAACUGCAUAAAAGACUUGCAGAGAUGAUGGCAUUACGAACGUGUGAGAAAGGGAAAGGCUUCAAGUACAAUGCAUCUUCCGAACUGAAGGAAAUUCUAGCUCGCAUGGAUGCUAGAAUUCGUAAUCUGUACAUGUCAUUACCAACAAAUGCUAUGGUGAUAAUUUGCACUGGUCACGGAGACACAGCAGUUGUUCGCAGUGUUGUCAAAUAGCAGAUAUCGCGGUGCUAUAGAGCUAUAGUGUUAGCGCUUUGAGGGCUCACCGCUAUCCGUAUUUUCUGCUUUAAGGGCUUGAAAUAGCGGAUUUUUGGCUUUCCGUAAUCCACAAUAAACAACACUAAUUUGGUUGCACAUGUAAAUGGGUGAGGAGAAUGCUUGCUGAGGACAGUGAAAGUAAUUUUAGUCGUGAGAAGAUCGUGGAACUCCUGGAAGAGUUUCAGGCGAGAGCUGAAGUAGCCUUGUGUUUUGUAGGUGUAAAGCACUGAAUACUUGGUUUUUUGAUUUUUUAUAUCCUGUGGGGAGUGAGUUCCCACAAUUUGAUUGUAAGCUUUGUAAAUGUAAGUUAUUGGCUCACUGCAAGAGUUCUUCGCGCAUGUCAUAAGGAUAUCAAGAAAAUAUAGAAGAGCCCCAAAUAUUAUCAGCUAUUCUGCUUCAUUCAGAAGUUAUUUUUUGUUUUA